AUGUCCUUGUACUGCUACAUUAUUGUUUUUGUGUUAUUAUCAUUACAUGUUAUGAUUGCCAUCGUGACAGAUUAUGCCUGCAGUGGCGAUGAUUGGUCUAUUAUAGAAAAUAUCCGGUCUGAACCAAGCAAAGAAAGAAAUUUAGUGAGCAACGACGACGCAUUUUUGAAAAAAAGUCAUUUACUAUCUCUUCUAACUCCCGGAGAAUGGGUUGGCGACGAAGUCAUAAAUACGUACAUAAAUUGCAUGACUGCUAUGGAGCAUCUACAAGUAAGGUCAGGUGGAAGUGUGUUCUUAGAGAAUGCAUGCAUCUCAAAGAUGAUAAAGAUCGGUAGCUAUCUGCCCUCAGAUGACAUGGAUGCUGCACCAGCAUGGGUACUAAACAGAGCCAAAGUGUAUUUGGAAAAUGAUAUGGUAUACUUUCCAAUAAAAAUGGAGAACGUUCACUGGUACCUAUGUGUUAUAAAUGCCAGAAAAAAAUGUGUCCAGGUGCUCGACUCGCUAGGCCCAUACAUGAGCCGCAAGGACCUCACUGAUACGCUAGAAGGACUGGAGGAUUUAUUCAAAUAUGCAUCCAAGCACAUGGAAUUAAAAUCCGAUAAGUGGACUGAUCUAGAUGUUACAACAUGA
rnacentral:rRNA from 1 species